CUUGUCUCACCAUGCUGAGAUGGCAGGUGAUAGACUUACUGUACUGCUUCUGAGCACUCCUUUUAUGUUUGAGAUCAGAUAAAUGCUGCUUUAGCAUACAUACCGGUGUUGCUACAGUCCCAGCCUCCUCAUGCACAGGGCCACAUCAUCUGGCCUGUGGGGCUCCCCAGUGGCAGCAGUGUUAAAUGCUACAGCUCUAGGAACGCUUAGCUUUGCUACCGCUUCCUUAUCAUCAAAUUUCUGUACCAGUGGGGAGCCCCGCAGGCCAGGUAACAUGGCUGUGGGCCAGGUGUGACCUUUGGACCAGAGGUUGAACACCACUGAUGUAAUACAAAAGGAACAUACCCAGCACAUAAUUGGAAGCUGACAGUGGUUGAUAAAGCAUAGUGUUUAUAGUAUUGUUUUAAGUCUAAACAUACAUCCAAUGAGCCCUUAACUUGGUCUAGGUAUUAUCAAAUAGUGUUAAAGAUACUACUUUAAUCAUAGAACCAAGUGUAAUGAGGUUAAACCAUAACAGCUUUCCAAAUGCAUUGAAUACUUUUACCUCCCAUCUCUUUAGAAGGAUCUUUUCCCCCUCUCCCAUACCUCCAUUUUAUUCAUUCCAGUUCAGUACAGAGUACAAUACUAUAAAAAUACUUUUUAUUUCUUUUUCACCAGAGAAAAACAUAUUUUACAAACACAGGUCAUUCCAGUUUUCCUACUAUCAAGAUCCAAAUUUACAUUUCUAGCUCAUCACUAUGGACAGAAAAAUUGAUAUGGUCAACUCCCUUCCACAAAACCUGAAGAAAACACCAGGUUCACCUUUGAAUACAAAAUACUAAUGUCAGAGACAAACCCAGCCUUUCUUUGAAAAGGGCCAGCCCACCUUACGGCUUCCUAUUAACACACCACAGCUGAAGAUGUUCUGUUCUUUGACCGUCAGAUGAGGUGACCUGUCUGAGUGGGGUAGGAGUUCUUCCUGUUUCCUGAGUAAGACUUUUCAUCUCCUUCAGUGGCCAAGUAUACAAGGUAUCUACAUCUUUACGAGGUAGUGAAUACAAAUUCAUUGUUUUAAAUUCCACAGAGAAUAUAUGAUAAAAUUGUAGGCAUGUGCUACUUUGUUAAAAAGAAAAUGCUACCUAGGAUUUACAGGAACUACUGCUUUAUACAAGAGUUACUUUGAAAUCAAUAGAAACUGGAGAUUAACCUCUUCCUCCUUUCCAGAAGGUAUUAGAGUCUGUUACUUUAACUAAACAAGCUCUUCAUCUGCAAGCUGGUGCCCAGUUCUAGUUCCAGUCAAGAAGUGUUCCAUUAACCAGAUAAUUAGACAGACAAGGAGACCAAAG
rnacentral:lncRNA from 1 species